CCAACGGCCCUCUUUAGGGCCACAGAUUUGGGAAUCAAAUGGAAA
rfam:Enterobius vermicularis genome assembly, scaffold: EVEC_scaffold0002821